AAUAAACUUGGGGGUAGUGUUCCUAGAGAACUUUUCACUAUUUCAGCUCUAUCAAUUUCGCUAGAUCUAUCUCAAAACUUAUUGGCUGGACCUUUACCUAUAGAAAUCAGUAAUCUGAAAAAUUUAGUGCAACUGAAUCUUUCUGAGAACAGGUUUUCUGGGGAAAUUCCUAGCACCCUUGCUAGUUGCACCAGCCUUGAAUAUCUAUACAUGCAGCAUAACUUGUUCCAGGGAUCCAUUCCUUCAUCGUUCCGUUCAUUGAGAGGUAUCCGCAAGCUUGACCUGUCUCAUAAUAAUUUAUCAGGUUCAAUACCAGAAUAUUUGGAGACCUUUUCCUUUGAGGUUUUGAACUUAUCCUUCAAUAACCUAGAGGGCCA
rnacentral:misc_RNA from 1 species